CCCAGCCUGUGAUCCUACAUCAUGUGCCCCAAUCUCUACUCUGUCUUUGUGAUCCUCACAGCAUUUAUCACAAGUGAUACAUGCAUCUCAAAAAUCCUGAGUCAGGUGUUUGAAGCCUUUAUUGAUUCUACAGCAGAAGUGAACUUUCCACACUGACAUGGAGACAGCUGCAAGAAGGAUGCUUCUUCCUGUGUCCUCUAAACUGUGGCACAAACGCUCUCCUGGAAAACCACUAUAUCUUCACAUAAAUAGCCCUUAUUGGAAGGAUGCUGUAAGCAGUAUCAAAUUAGCUGCCAUAGAAUUUGGCCACUUAAUGCUUUUGCUGUCAAUGUCACACCCCAUGCUGAGUCACUGAGAAGUGAUUGAGCUGAUAUAAGCAAAUGCAUUGACUAAGUAAUUUAUUUAUAUCUUGUUGCCACGAGUCUAAGAAACUGCUAAAUGUACUAAAUAAUCAAUCCACUCAGCAGCUGAUGAUGCAGUAGUAGAAAUGAAGUCCUGCUAGGUUUUUAUUAUUGCUGUCAGAGAGGCUCUUUGGAUGCUCUGAAAGUGCAUGCAAAAGGGUAACAAUUCAGCAAACAUACCUCACAUUUAGAAAAGCCUGCAUGACUUUUGGAAGAACAGACAUAAUCCAAAGAAACUGGGAAGGCAAUAAUCUAAGAUUGUUUUUUUGAGGCUGCAACAUUCUGUAAGACCACUGUACAGGUUUGAAAGCUUUGGACUAGGGUAUGUGUCUGGAUUACAGUAUAUGUCUGGCUGUUUAAUGCUUAAUGUAUUAAUGAUACUGAAUUGUCUGUAGGUUACAAAUUAUUCACUGGCAGGGAUAUGUGGACAGCAUCAUUCUGUAUUAUUUUUUAUAGUCAUGUCAGUAUGCAAGAUACAUAAUUUUAAAAUAUCAAAAAAGGUUUGUUAGGGAGAAGGCAAUGUAAGACUCACCAGAUGGUUGCUGAAGAUCAAAGGAACCAAAGCAUUUACCUCCCCAUGGAGCUUUGUUAUAUGCAUAUUUCAAUUCUGUGACUCUUGUAAACUUCAUGCUGAGAACAUUGAGAUCAUAAAUGCUAGUUACAACCACCAUCAUUUAUACUUAUAUAAAUUUUAUGAUAGUUAUACUUGUCUGGUGUAGGGCUCAGGUCAAUGUCACAUCCAGAAUUAUUCUCUGUGUUAAUUCUGAACUGGACACUGUAAAAUCAAAGAUAAAGAUGUUUUGGG